GCUGCCCGAGAGGCGGCGGGGGCGCAGCGCGCACUCAGCGCCUCCAGGAGAAGACGCGGGCUCCUGGGCUCUGGCUCACUGGUGCUACCGCUCCCGGGCUGCAGGGAGCCCCGCCGGCGACUACAUGGCCGCGGCGGGGCCGUAGGAGCCCACUGCUAAGUUCGCAGCCGCCGGAGGUCGGCAGCCGCAGAGGGCUUGCGCGCGUGGGGACAUGUUCGGGCGGGUCCGCGAGCCGCGCUCCGCACUCCACGGGGAUCCAGUGCUGCGCCCGAGCCGCCGGGACUGCGGCUUCUCUGGCAAAACCUGCCUCCGGGACGGAGAGAGGAGACGGGCAGCCCGCAGAGCCAAUGGCAGGGCAGGCGCGCCGGUGGGCGGAGGCUGCGACGCCCCCGGCCGUGCGGGCGUCAGGUAGGGGAGGCGGGGCCCGGGCGCCGGCCUUGGUCCGGCUGGAGCGCUGGGGCGAGGGAACGGGGACCUGGGACCGGAGGAUGGGGGCGGAGCCCAGAUUUGAAGCGGAAGGCUGAGACUCCGAACUUAGCGGGGGAGUGGCACCAUCCUUGGGACGUCACAGGGAGACGGCAAUGGGAUGGUGAGACCUUGGAGGAGAAUUGGACUUUGUCUCCAAAAAGUGGAAUCGAGAAAUCAGACCAGAAGGAGAAGGAGGGCUCUGUAGGGAAAAAAGGAAGCGCACACACAGUCACGCACGCACGCGGACCCACCAGAGUGUUGGAGGAAAAGAGAAACUUCGUGGCAUAGGUCAUGGAUGAAGCUGGAAACCAUCAUUCUCAGCAGACUGACACAAGAACAGAAAAUCAAACACCGCAUGUUCUCACUCAUAGGCAAGUGUUGAGCAAUGAGAAUACAUGGACACAGGGAGGGGAGCAUCACACAUUGGGUCUGUUCAGUGGAGCCACGGGAGGGACAGUGGGGUGUGGGGAGGUUGGAGAGGGAUAACAUAGGGAGAAAUGCCAGAUAGAGGUGACGGGGGGAUGGAGGCAGCAAACCACAUUGCCGUGUAUGUACCUAUGCAAUAAUCCUGCAUAUACUGCACAUGUACCCCAGAACCGAAAGUGCAAUAAAU
rnacentral:lncRNA from 1 species